ACACGGAGGAUGCGAGCGUUAUCCGGAUUUAUUGGGUUUAAAGGGUGCGUAGGUUGUGGAUUAAGUCAGCGGUGAAAGUUUGUCGCUUAACGAUAAAAUUGCCGUUGAAACUGGUUUACUUGAGUGUAAUAGAAGUAGGCGGAAUGCGUGGUGUAGCGGUGAAAUGCAUAGAUAUCACGCAGAACUCCGAUAGCGAAGGCAGCUUACUAAGUUAUAACAGACACUGAAGCACGAAAGCGUGGGUAUCGAACAGGAUUAGAUACCCUGGUAGUCCACGCAGUAAACGAUGAUUACUCGCUGUUUGCGAUACACAGUAAGCGGCUUAGCGAAAGCGUUAAGUAAUCCACCUGGGGAGUACGUUCGCAAGAAUGAA
rnacentral:rRNA from 1 species